rnacentral:rRNA from 1 species
UACGUAGGGGGCAAGCGUUGUCCGGAAUCAUUGGGCGUAAAGCGCGCGUAGGCGGCCCGGUAAGUCCGUUGUAAAAGUCAAAGGCUCAACCUUUGAAAGCCGAUGGAUACUGCCGGGCUAGAAUCCGGAAGAGGCGAGUGGAAUUCCUGGUGUAGCGGUGAAAUGCGCAGAUAUCAGGAGGAACACCAGUGGCGAAGGCGGUGCUCUGGGCCGGAACUGACGCUGAGGAGCGAAAGCGUGGGGAGCAAACAGG